UACGAAGGGGGCUAGCGUUGCUCGGAAUCACUGGGCGUAAAGCGCGCGUAGGCGGAUUGCUAAGUCAGGGGUGAAAUCCUGGAGCUCAACUCCAGAACUGCCUUUGAUACUGGUGGUCUUGAGUCCGGGAGAGGUGAGUGGAACUGCGAGUGUAGAGGUGAAAUUCGUAGAUAUUCGCAAGAACACCAGUGGCGAAGGCGGCUCACUGGCCCGGUACUGACGCUGAGGUGCGAAAGCGUGGGGAGCAAACAGG
rnacentral:rRNA from 1 species